CACGUAGGGGGCGAGCGUUGUCCGGAUUCAUUGGGCGUAAAGAGCUCGUAGGCGGCUCGGCAAGUCGGGUGUGAAACCUCCAGGCUCAACCUGGAGACGCCACUCGAUACUGCUGUGGCUAGAGUCCAGUAGGGGAGCGUGGAAUUCCUGGUGUAGCGGUGAAAUGCGCAGAUAUCAGGAGGAACACCAGCGGCGAAGGCGGCGCUCUGGGCUGGAACUGACGCUGAGGAGCGAAAGCGUGGGGAGCAAACAGG
rnacentral:rRNA from 1 species